AAGGAUCAUUAAAGAGACGUUGCCCUUCGGGGUAUACCUCCCACCCUUUGUUUACCGUACCUUUGUUGCUUUGGCAGGCCCGUCUUCGGACCGCCGGCUUCGGCUGGUCUGCGCCUGCCAGAGGACCCAAAACUCUGUCUGUCUGUGUCGUCUGAGUACUAUAUAAUAGUUAAAACUUUCAACAACGGAUCUCUUGGUUCUGG
rnacentral:misc_RNA from 1 species